ensembl:snRNA U6 U6 spliceosomal RNA
GUGCUCGAUUCAGCAGCACAUAUACUAAAAUUGGAGUGAUACACAUAAGAUUAGUAUGGGCCCUGAGCAAGGAGGACAUGCAACUUUGUAAAGUGUUCCAUUUUUUU